GACGAACGCUGGCGGCGUGCUUAACACAUGCAAGUCGAACGAAGAGCGAUGGAAGCUUGCUUCUAUCAAUCUUAGUGGCGAACGGGUGAGUAACGCGUAAUCAACCUGCCCUUCAGAGGGGGACAACAGUUGGAAACGACUGCUAAUACCGCAUACGAUCUAAACUCGGCAUCGAGGAUAGAUGAAAGGUGGCCUCUACAUGUAAGCUAUCACUGAAGGAGGGGAUUGCGUCUGAUUAGCUAGUUGGAGGGGUAACGGCCCACCAAGGCGAUGAUCAGUAGCCGGUCUGAGAGGAUGAACGGCCACAUUGGGACUGAGACACGGCCCAGACUCCUACGGGAGGCAGCAGUGGGGAAUCUUCCGCAAUGGACGAAAGUCUGACGGAGCAACGCCGCGUGAGUGAUGACGGCCUUCGGGUUGUAAAGNUCUGUUAAUCGGGACGAAAGGCCUUCUUGCGAAUAGUGAGAAGGAUGA
rnacentral:rRNA from 1 species